rnacentral:rRNA from 1 species
CGCAAUGGACGAAAGUCUGAUGGAGCAACGCCGCGUGAGCGAUGAAGGCCUUCGGGUCGUAAAGCUCUGUUGUUAGGGAAGAACAAGUAUCGGAGUAACUGCCGGUACCUUGACGGUACCUAACCAGAAAGCCACGGCUAACUACGUGCCAGCAG